GUCUGGGACUACCACUUGGAAACAGGUGCUAAUACCGGAUAAGAAAGCAGAUCGCAUGAUCAGCUUUUAAAAGGCGCGUAAGCUGUCGCUAUGGGAUGGCCCGCGGUGCAUUAGCUAGUUGGUAAGGUAAAGGCUUACCAAGGCGAUGAUGCAUAGCCCGAGUUGAGAGACUGAUCGGGCCACAUUGGGGACUGAGACACGGGGCCCAAACUCCUACGGGGGGAGGGGCAGCAGUAGGGGGAAUCUUCCACAAUGGACGCAAGUCUGAUGGAGCAACGCCGCGUGAGUGAAGAAGGUUUCGGAUCGUAAAGCUCUGUUGUUGGUGAAGAAGGAUAGAGGUAGUAACUGGCCUUUAUUUGACGGUAAUCAACCAGAAAGUCACGGCUAACUACGUGCCAGCAGCCGCGGUAAU
rnacentral:rRNA from 1 species